GGCCGGCUAGCUCAGUUGGUUAGAGCGUCGUGCUAAUAUAACGACCAGAUCGAAAUGUUACGCGAAGGUCUUGGGUUCGAUCCCCACGUUGGCCA